rnacentral:lncRNA from 1 species
CUGUGAUGCAAUGUAAGAGUUUGUGAUCGUUUAAACGGUGAAAAAUAAAUCACCCUGAAAGUUGGCCAAAAAAAAUGGUCUGACGUCACGUUCCCACAAUGCACGCGCCCGUCAGCUCUAGUGCUGCUGUGUUUAGAGGGAAAGAAACAGCAGGCCCGAAACAUACACACAUUAUUGAACAAAAAAAUUCAUUGUCGACUGCGAACAGUUUUUGAGAGUUCAUCGAGAUAUGGCUGGGAAUCGAUUUUUUUUAUCUGCACCCUUGUGAGAUGGAAGAUGGAAGAAUGCGCGUGAAAUGCAACUUUUGUGGGGAUCAAAAGUUUCUGAAGUCUGAACAUGCAAAAAAACAAUCUUCACUCCCAAGAAAAAUCACCCGUUGGAGCUUCUUGUCAGGUACUUGCUUUUGUCUCUAAAACGGGUGCCCAAUCCUGUUUCUAGCGAUCUACCUUCCCGGAAAGUUCAGUUCCAGCCCUGCUCCAACACACCUGUUUGUAAUUAUCAAGUGUGCCUGUUUUUUUGAAUGAAUCUACACUUUGCAGGUAAGUAGAUCUCCGGGACCAGGAUUGAGCACCCCUGCUCUAAAACAAUGUGAUUAUGAUUGUACAAAAUUUCUAACUUCUCACAGAUCGUUGGUUUUUCACAGAUGUACAGUGACAUACUCCUUGAAAA